UACGUAGGUGGCUAGCGUUAUCCGGAAUUACUGGGUGUAAAGGGCGAGUAGGCGGGCUGGUAAGUCAGAUGUGAAAUGUCGGAGCUUAACUCCGGAGCUGCAUUUGAGACUGCCGGUCUUGAGUGAUGGAGAGGCAGAUGGAAUUCCCGGUGUAGCGGUGGAAUGCGUAGAUAUCGGGAGGAACACCAGUGGCGAAGGCGGUCUGCUGGACAUUAACUGACGCUGAGGAGCGAAAGCGUGGGGAGCAAAC
rnacentral:rRNA from 1 species